AUACAACUAUAAUGUAUUGUUACUUUAUAUCAUGACUUUACAAUUCCUAUAUAUUAAAGGAACGCUUUAUUAUUCCGCUGUUACCAUAGACACCAUUUAAUUUCCCAGGUAACAUCAAUUCUCUGACAAUCUUAUGGAAUUAUAAUUUUUCUCUAACAACCAUCUCGGAGAGAACAGAACACGGCGUAUCUUUUGUCGAGGCUGUUGGUUUUAAAAUAUUUUCAAUCUGGAUAUCAUUAGACUUCCAAAAUGAAAGUCGCGUUUGUCUGUUUUUGCCUAAUAUGGUUGGUAGCAGCAAUGACUGUUGCCAAACCUGAUAAACCUGCAAAGAACAACCCUGAGGAAACUAUGAGCCAAGCUGAUCUUGAGAAGCUCAGAAAUCAAAUGCCAAACUGGAAUAUAGGAGGACUCUAUCCACCCUUUCUUCCGAAAGUGCGAAAUACUGAACAACCUAAGCGGCGGUCACAAAAAAUCAAGAUCAAAACGAAGCAGUCCAGAAGGAAUAGACGUUCAGUAGUAGAUAAUCUAUAGCGGCGGAGACGUUGAGAAUUGUGAAAUUGAGACAGUGUUAAAUUCUUAUUUCUAAAGAUUCGUUCAACCUUUUUAUGGCUUUAUCAAUUUAUUGCAUUAUUUUAUAGAUUUUGUAUUGUUCUUUAGAUCAUAAGUACGUCGGUAUGCCUGUAUUGUACAUCUACUAUUUUAUUUAUGAAUAUGCUUCAAGUUAAGAUCUUAAAUGUAUAAAUAACUUC
rnacentral:lncRNA from 1 species